GCCAGGGCCUGGGACUACCAGGCCUGCACCGAGAUCAACCUGACCUUCGCCAGCAACAAUGUGACCGAUAUGUUCCCGGACCUGCCCUUCACUGACGAGCUCCGCCAGCGAUCUCAGAGCCGCCAGCAACAUCAUCUUCUCCAACGGGAACCUGGACCCCUGGGCAGGGGGCGGGAUUCGGAGGAACCUGAGUGCCUCAGUCAUCGCCGUCACCAUCCAGGGGGGAGCGCACCACCUCGACCUCAGAGCCUCCCACCCAGAAGAUCCUGCUUCCGUGGUUGAGGCGCGGAAGCUGGAGGCCACCAUCAUCGGCGAGUGGGUAAAGGCAGCCAGGCGUGAGCAGCAGCCAGCUCUGCGUGGGGGGCCCAGACUCAGCCUCUGAGCACAGGACUGGAGGGGUCUCAAGGCUCCUCAUGGAGUGGGGGCUUCACUCAAGCAGCUGGCGGCAGAGGGAAGGGGCUGAAUAAACGCCUGGAGGCCUGGC
rnacentral:lncRNA from 1 species